rnacentral:rRNA from 1 species
UACAGAGGUCCCGAGCGUUGUUCGGAAUUACUGGGCGUAAAGGGCUCGUAGGCGGCCAACUAAGUCGGAUGUGAAAUCCCCAGGCUUAACCUGGGAACUGCAUCCGAUACUGGAUGGCUUGAAUCCGGGAGAGGGAUGCAGAAUUCCAGGUGUAGCGGUGAAAUGCGUAGAUAUCUGGAGGAAUACCGGUGGCGAAGGCGGCAUCCUGGACCGGCAUUGACGCUGAUGAGCGAAAGCUAGGGGAGCAAACGGG